rnacentral:rRNA from 1 species
GUCUCGAAGCUUCGACGAGUAGGAGGGCGCGGGGGUGAGCGUAGAAGUUCGAACGUGAGUUCGAAUGGAGCCGCCUUCGGUGCAGAUCUUGGUAGUAGUAGCAAACACUCCUUUGAGAAGCACGUUAACUCGGAUGAGGGCCGUGCGGAGAAGGGUUCCUCGUCAACUGCAGUUGAACGAGGGUUAGUCGAUCCUAAGCCCAAGGCUCGAGCUUGUUACCAUACGACUCGACCAAAACACACCAUUCAAUUAAUGAUUACAAAUAUAUUUUUACUUUAUGUAUAAUGUAUGCGUAGUUUUUUAUAUAACUAUAAUAAAGUUGAUCGAAUGAUCGGGCGAAAGGGAAUUCGGACAAAAUUCCGAAACCCGGCGAGGGUAUAACACGUUGAGCCUACGGGCAAACGCUAUUAUGGCAAUAACACCCUAGGCUCCCGGUGACGGGAGAUAGAGCCAAAGACGUUGACGACAGCCCGGGGAAGAGCUAGCUCUUUUCUUCAUAAGGCGCCGCGGACCCUGGAAUCAAUUUGAUGGGAGAAAGGGUAUAGACAUACGUGGAUGUUCGCCGAAGAGUAUCGCAUUUGUUGCGGUAUCUCGCGCGUUGUCGUCGACCCGUGAAAACUUUGGCCGAGGGAUUGCUAAUUCUUUGAUUUUAGCGACAUACCUUCUCGUCGUUCCUAUUGGUCGUACCUAUAUCCGCAUCCGGUCUCCGAGGUGCUUAGUCUCUUGUCGAUAGUCUAAUGUAGAUAAGGGAAGUCGGCAAAAUCGAUCCGUAACUUCGGGAGAAGGAUUGGCUCUUAAGGGCGGGCUAGUCGGGCCUUCGAUCGGAAGCGGUACAAAGAGUUAUGGGUUUCGUCGUAGUCGAGUGGAUUAAGCUAGCUUGUGUCGAUGGCACUCGAAAGCUGUCGGCAUUUUGUUACUUUUCCUCCUCUUCUUCACGGCCCGCUCCGUCGUAUCCGCGGACGUUCGUUGGCUAGUGGUGCUCCGUGGAAGAGGCUUCUUUAGCUCCGUUUCGCUCUCGCUGGUCGUCUUUACGGAUGGUUGGUGGGUGGUGUUUCGGCGGCGGGAGUCUGUAUACGCGGAUGUCAUCUCGGCUGGCCAUUAGCGUCCGAUUAAGAACUGGCACGGACUAGGGGAAUCCGACUGUCUAAUUAAAACAAAGCAUCGCGAUGGCCGCGAGUCGGUGUUGACGCGAUGUGAUUUCUGCCCAGUGCUCUGAAUGUCAAAGUGAAGAAAUUCAAUUAAGCGCGGGUAAACGGCGGGAGUAACUAUGACUCUCUUAAGGUAGCCAAAUGCCUCGUCAUCUAAUUAGUGACGCGCAUGAAUGGAUUAACCAGAUUCCCACUGUCCCUAUCUACUGUCU